GCCGGAGUGGCGGAACUGGCAGACGCACAGGACUUAAAAUCCUGCGGUCGAAAGACUGUACCGGUUCGAUCCCGGUCUCCGGCA
rnacentral:tRNA from 1 species